rnacentral:rRNA from 1 species
GAUGAACGCUGGCGGCGUGCCUAAUACAUGCAAGUCGAGCGAACGGACGAGAAGCUUGCUUCUCUGAUGUUAGCGGCGGACGGGUGAGUAACACGUGGAUAACCUACCUAUAAGACUGGGAUCACUUCGGGAAACCGGAGCUAAUACCGGAUAAUAUUUUGAACCGCAUGGUUCAAAAGUGAAAGACGGUCUUGCUGUCACUUAUAGAUGGAUCCGCGCUGCAUUAGCUAGUUGGUAAGGUAACGGCUUACCAAGGCAACGAUGCAUAGCCGACCUGAGAGGGUGAUCGGCCACACUGGAACUGAGACACGGUCCAGACUCCUACGGGAGGCAGCAGUAGGGAAUCUUCCGCAAUGGGCGAAAGCCUGACGGAGCAACGCCGCGUGAGUGAUGAAGGUCUUCGGAUCGUAAAACUCUGUUAUUAGGGAAGAACAUAUGUGUGAGUAACUGUGCACAUCUUGACGGUACCUAAUCAGAAAGCCACGGCUAACUACGUG